rfam:Asian citrus Psyllid, Diaphorina citri - Florida Strain, whole genome shotgun sequence.
ACCUCUGUCGUGUAGUGGUCAAGACGCUCGCCUGUUAAACAGGAGAGCAUGGGUUCAAUCCCAGCAGAGGUA